AGUGAACGCUGGCGGUAGGCCUAACACAUGCAAGUCGAACGGCAGCACAGUAAGAGCUUGCUCUUACGGGUGGCGAGUGGCGGACGGGUGAGGAAUACAUCGGAAUCUACUUUUUCGUGGGGGAUAACGUAGUGAAACUUACGCUAAUACCGCAUACGACCUACGGGUGAAAGCAGGGGAUCUUCGGACCUUGCGCGAUUGAAUGAGCCGAUGUCGGAUUAGCUAGUUGGCGGGGUAAAGGCCCACCAAGGCGACGAUCCGUAGCUGGUCUGAGAGGAUGAUGAGCCACACUGGAACUGAGACACGGUCCAGACUCCUACGGGAGGCAGCAGUGGGGAAUAUUGGACAAUGGGCGCAAGCCUGAUCCAGCCAUACCGCGUGGGUGAAGAAGGCCUUCGGGUUGUAAAGCCCUUUUGUUGGGAAAGAAAAGCAGCAGGUUAAUACCCCGCUGUUCUGACGGUACCCAACGAAUAAGCACCGGCUAACUUCGUG
rnacentral:rRNA from 1 species